rnacentral:misc_RNA from 1 species
UGCCAAGCCAAAUCUUUUAGAUUCACUUCUUGGUUUCCAAGAAACUUAUGGCCUUAGCGAGGAAAGCAUUAAAGAACUACUCUGGGACGUAACAACUGCAGGCCUGGAGACAAGUAGUAUAGUUGUUGAAUGCGCCAUGGCUCAAUUGGUCAAGAAUCCAAGGGUGCAAUUCAGGGCUCAAGAAGAGCUUGACAAAGUAAUUGGGCUCAACCGUGUAAUGGCCGAAUCCGAUAUCUCUAAACUCCCUUACCUGAAAUGCAUUGUCAAGGAGGCACUAAGGUUGCACCCUCCAGCCCCAUUGCUGCUACCUCACAAGGCAAAUUCCAAUAUCAAGAUUGGUGGCUACGACGUUCCUAAGGGAACUCACGUUCAUGUGAAUGUUAGGGCCAUAGGACGUGACCCAGCAGUGUGGCAAGACCCAGUAGAAUUUAGACCUGAAAGGUUCUUGGAGAAAGAUGUAGAAAUUAAGGGUCAUGAUUUUCGAUUGCUGCCAUUUGGUGCAGGAAGGCGAAUGUGCCCUGCUGCCCAAUUGGGCAUGAAUUUGGUUACGUCGAUGUUGGGUCAGCUGUUGCAUAAUUUCAGCUGGGCUCUUCCUGAAGGGGUACUGCCUGAAGAGGUUGACUUGUGUGGGAUCUCAGGGAUGG